rnacentral:rRNA from 1 species
UACGGGAGGCAGCAGUGGGGAAUAUUGCACAAUGGGGGAAACCCUGAUGCAGCGACGCCGCGUGAGCGAAGAAGUAUUUCGGUAUGUAAAGCUCUAUCAGCAGGGAAGAAAAUGACGGUACCUGACUAAGAAGCACCGGCUAAAUACGUGCCAGCAGCCGCGGUAAUACGUAUGGUGCAAGCGUUAUCCGGAUUUACUGGGUGUAAAGGGAGCGUAGACGGAUGGGCAAGUCUGAUGUGAAAACCCGGGGCUCAACCCCGGGACUGCAUUGGAAACUGUUCAUCUAGAGUGCUGGAGAGGUAAGUGGAAUUCCUAGUGUAGCGGUGAAAUGCGUAGAUAUUAGGAGGAACACCAGUGGCGAAGGCGGCUUACUGGACAGUAACUGACGUUGAGGCUCGAAAGCGUGGGGAGCAAACAGGAUUAGAUACCCUGGUAGUCCACGCCGUAAACGAUGACUACUAGGUGUCGGGUGGCAAAGCCAUUCGGUGCCGCAGCAAACGCAAUAAGUAGUCCACCUGGGGAGUACGUUCNCAAGAAUGAAACUCAAAGGAAUUGANGG